rnacentral:rRNA from 1 species
UACGUAGGUGGCAAGCGUUGUCCGGAUUUAUUGGGCGUAAAGCGAGUGCAGGCGGUUCAAUAAGUCUGAUGUGAAAGCCUUCGGCUCAACCGGAGAAUUGCAUCAGAAACUGUUGAACUUGAGUGCAGAAGAGGAGAGUGGAACUCCAUGUGUAGCGGUGAAAUGCGUAGAUAUUAGGAGGAACACCAGUGGCGAAGGCAGCAUACCGGCGCGCAACUGACGCUCAUGCACGAAAGCGUGGGUAUCGAACAGG